rnacentral:rRNA from 1 species
AUUGAACGCUGGCGGCAUGCUUUACACAUGCAAGUCGAACGGGCUGGGGGCAACUCCAGUCAGUGGCGAACGGGUGAGUAAUGCAUCGGAACGUACCCCGUCGUGGGGGAUAACGCCGGGAAACCGGCGCUAAUACCGCAUAUGCUCUGCGGGUGAAAGCGGGGGACCGCAAGGCCUCACGCUAUGGGAGCGGCCGAUGUCCGAUUAGCUAGUUGGUGGGGUAAUGGCUUACCAAGGCGACGAUCGGUAGCUGGUCUGAGAGGAUGAUCAGCCACACUGGGACUGAGACACGGCCCAGACUCCUACGGGAGGCAGCAGUGGGGAAUUUUGGACAAUGGGGGCAACCCUGAUCCAGCCAUGCCGCGUGCGGGAAGAGGGCCUUCGGGUUGUAAACCGCUUUUAGCCGGAAAGAAAAGGCGUCUCCUAAUACGCGGCGUUCUUGACGGUACCGGCGGAAUAAGCACCGGCUAACUACGUGCCAGCAGCCGCCGUAAAAC